CCUCUUAUCCCACAUCCUGUUAGAUCUGAAACCCUCCAAUAACCAUAUUGUCCAAGCUACACACAAUGUGUUCCUAAUUCCUAGAAUGGAAUUCACUGCAAUCUGGCUUUUAGAGCAGUACAUUUGGAUAUCCAGUGAACCAACCAUAGAAACAUUCUGGCAAGGUUUGCCAUCACAAGGGGUUACUAUCUAUCAAAAUCUUACAAUGUAUUUAAUGAAACCUAGUGGACUGCAUGCUUAUAGACAAGCUUUCAGGAUCAUGAAGACAUGGGCUGAGAGGGACGUUUGAAGGAAAAGAAGACUAACUGUGUGCUAUAAGGAAAGAAAGUCAAUCUAGCGGGAAGAACAGGGUGAAGGUUAAUUUCAUGUGUCAACUUGGCUAGGCUAUGGUGCCCACUCAUUUGGUCAAACACUAGUCUACAUGAGGCUGUGAAGGUAUUUGGUAGAUGUGAUUAACAUUUACAAUCAGUUGACUUUAGGUAAAGAAGGUUUUCCUCAAUCAUGCCUCAUCAAAUCAGUUGAAUCUCUUAAAAGCAAAAACUGACGUUUCCCAGAAAAGAAGGAAUUCUGCCUCAAAACCGUAAACGUGGGAAUCCUGCCUGAGUUUCCAGCCUGUCCUUUGGACUUCAGACUUGCCAACCCCCACAAUCAUCAACUUCAGAUUAUGAGAAAAUGCAUCCUCUGCGUUGGCAUAGCGGAAGACAGUUCAGGACUGUUCCAGAAGAUGAAGGAGGCACAAGGCUGUGCAGCUUUUAAGGCAUAGAGCCGACCUGGAACCUGACUACAAUAAUUCCCCUCUUUCUGUUCUGCACAUGGAAACGUUCAACAGUCAGCAAAGAGGACACCCGUUUAGCCAUGGUUCAGUCAAUCAGUGUACACGUGUAAAGGGAAAUCAGCAUGUGAGACGUUACUUGCAGAAUUGUUGCUGUAAUGUGAAGUUAAAUUUCACCUUUGGGAAAGAAGUAAUGAAGGGCACGGAAAGGCCUUUAACUCCUUUACAUCAAUCCUGAGCACAUAGAAAUGGAAAUUACAACCAGUUACAAUGACUCGCUAAAAGACCUGGCCUUGGAAAAAAAGAAAGAAAGAAACCUCGAUUAGUUUGUCCUGGAAAUAAAAAGCUGGAAAGAGAUGUAGUGUUCUGUGAUACAAAAACUGGACUGCAGAGACUUGCUGGUAAUUUAAAUCAUCACCCUCUUCCCCCCCUAAAAGGAGGGAUGGUAAAACCUUGGGGUGUUUACAACUACAGAGAUGCAUUAAAAACAUUUAACUUGGAAUUCUCUGUUCUGACUCCCUUAGAACAUCACAUAUCUCUUAAAAUUGAUGAAUUGACUUAAUGUGGCCUUGUCUAAAAGCAGAGAUUUACGGGUUGAGUUCCUUUUUUUGGGGGGGAGUGGUGGUUGAGUUCUUUCUUUGUUGGUGCUGAUGUUACAUCAGACCCAGAAGGAGCCAAGACAGGUUCCAAUGUGGUGCCAAGUCCCUCAUUUCACAGAGGACAGUACCAUGGUUCCAGACUCUGCUGGGUGCCUAGUGUCAUUUCAAACCCUUUG